UUUGACGUAAUGCGUGCUACGUUUAUCGAGACGUCAUAUUUAUCUAACAAUUAUUUCCAAUUGUUCUUUUUUUCCAUUAUUGGACUGGAGUGCAAUAAUAGAAUCUCUCCAGAAAUUCCGACUUAUCUACAUUGUACUUCGACGCUACUUUGAAUAGGAAUAUCUCGAGAAUAUAAGUAUUACUUCUUUUCUUGGUCUGUGAUUAAAAUUGAAUUUCAGCAAACGAAAGACAAAACGAAAAAUCAACAGUCAUUGGGCAAAUUGGAAGCAAUAAUCCGUCAAGUGAUUAAUUUUAGAAUUUUAUUGUUGCAAAAUGUAUUAGCAGAUGUUGAUUUAAAUCGAAAAUCGGGACGUUGAAGGAUUCGAAAUGAAUUUAGGCGAGGGUUGCAAUCGAAAAUCAACGGACGAUAGAAAAUGCAAAAUUUGCUUAAGUAAAUUCAAACGAUUUUAAAUUGAGAAUUUUCAUUAGCAGAAAUGCAUUCAGAGAUCCAGUUAUUUCUUUUAACAUAUCGUAUGAAAAAUAGAGUUUUAUAUACGUAGAAGUUACAUUCCGGUAUCCAUAUUUGACAAGAAUAUCAUCUGGUUUGUACUGCUUCAAGAUGGAAUUUCUUUUGACAUUUCUUUGUCGCAAUACAAGAAGGAAGAAUCGAGAUAAGUAAUUUCUAAUAUCUUCAGUAUGAUAAUUCUUUUGCAAAAUUUAACAUAUACUAUAUAUAUAUAUAUAUAAGCUUAGAUUGUAUACUAUUUAACAUUAUAAUAUGACAAAUCAGUAUACUUCUUACAUUCUUUUUUUAAUAAUAUCUCUCAAGUUAUUUUUUUCGGAAAGAACAUUUACAGAAUGGAUUUAUUCUCAUACUAUAACAAAAAACUUAUGAAAUAAACAGUUAAUAUAAUCAACGCAAUUUUCGAAAACGGAGAAAACUGAAAUACGUCGAUAAUGCUAACAUAUAAGCUGCUCGUUUUACAUAUAUGUUAUGUUGUAUUUAAAAUACUCGGAUCAGUAUCAACCUUAAAAGAUAAAUUUAUUAAACGAGACAACGAUUCUAUUACGAAUUUGCAAAUAUUUUUUAAUAAUUUUUUGCUGUUAUUCCAUCAUAACUUAUAACAAAAGCAAUUGGAAAUUCAUUACGUUGGCAUAAUAAUAGAAAAAUAUUCAUGCAUAACGUCAAGCUUACUAAAUUUUACAUAAAAAUUCUAUUUGAAUCUAUUUUUGUACCAUGUGUCUCCAAUUCCGGGUUUUAUAAUUCUGCCUAUUUGUUCUUCUGAAUGUAGUGAUUUCUAAAUAAAUCAACGAUGAUUAAGAUUUCUGGGAUUUUCGGUAUUACAAACUUAAUUUAAAAAUCCUGAUGAAAGUGAUAUUCUGAACUAAAAGGUUGAUGAGAAGAAGGAAUUUCGGUGAAAUCCAGUGAUCACAGGUUCUGUCAUAGAAUUCUGAAAAUUAGUAGAACUGAUAAAAUUACUAAUGAAAAAGUAUGGAGAAGAUCUCACGCCAUUCCAUGUCUUCUCAGGACUGACAAAGAGCAUAAAAUAGAAUUUGCAGGAUAUGUUCUAACAGGCUCUUCUUGCAAAAACACUCUUAAUACUGGAGAACUUUACUAAAAGAGAUCUUAAAUGCGAUAGGACAAGGAGAAACUUGGUUUCAGGAUUUCAGAGAUUAGACUAGCAUUCCUAGCUACCAAGUAUCCAAAAGAAAAGCAAGUGAUAGAAAAAGUUAACAAUUUAUGGUGGCAAACCUUCGUAACGGCACAUCAUGACUAGGAAAUGAAUCAGCAACUUGGUGAUAUCAUAUAUUAUAAUAAUUAUGUAGUAGUCUAUAUAUUUUAUAAUUAUAUAUUUUAGUAUACAAUAUCUAUUUUUAAAAUGCGCAAAUAUGUUAUGAAUUGUUUACAUUU
rnacentral:lncRNA from 1 species